NGCAUCGAUGAGGANCGNUAGCAAAAAUGCGAUACCUUGGUGUGAAUUGNAGAAUCCCGUGAACCAUCGAGUUUUUGAACGCAAGUUGCGCCCGAAGCCAUCCGGUUCAGGGCACGCCUGCCUGGGCGUCACGA
rnacentral:rRNA from 1 species